CUGUCAAAUUUCAAUGUGAAAAAACAGAAAAUAAAGCCUUAUAUUUGACCCUGUAACUUUCAAAAACCUGUACAUGGGGGGUACUGUUAUACUCGGGAGACUUUGACGUUUCAGUCUUGAUAAAAAUCCAGUGGGACUGAAACGUCGACACUCUGUAUCCAAAGAUUUGAUGCUUAAAUAAAAAGCACUAUUUGAAAAACAUUUUGAGUCCAUUGAGUGCUCUCCAUCAAGAUAUCAUACAUAUUUAAGCCGGGGAUUGCACCAAGGCAACAACAAGACCGGGAACUGUGAGUGCGGGACACGUGG